AGCAGCCGCGGUAAUUCCAGCUCCAAUAGCGUAUAUUAAAGUUGUUGCAGUUAAAAAGCUCGUAGUUGAAUUUCGGGAUCAAUAUGUCGGUCGUGCCUUCGGUACGUACUGGUAUCAUUGGUCUCUCCUUUCUGACGAACCAUGAUGUCAUUAAUUUGGUGUCGUGGGGAAUCAGGACUGUUACUUUGAAAAAUUAGAGUGUUUAAAGCAGGCUCACGCUUGAAUACAUUAGCAUGGAAUAAUGAAAUAGGACGUUUGAUUCUAUUUUGUUGGUUUCUAGGAUCGACGUAAUGAUUAAUAGGGAUAGUUGGGGGCAUUAGUAUUCAAUUGUCAGAGGUGAAAUUCUUGGAUUUAUUGAAGACUAACUACUGCGAAAGCAUUUGCCAAGGAUGUUUUCAUUAAUCAAGAACGAAAGUUAGGGGAUCGAAGACGAUCAGAUACCGUCGUAGUCUUAACCAUAAACUAUGCCGACUAGGGAUCGGAUGAUGUUAAUUUUUAAUGUACUCU
rnacentral:rRNA from 1 species